AUUGAACGCUGGCGGCGUGCCUAACACAUGCAAGUCGAGCGGUAGCAGGCGUAGCAAUACGUGCUGACGAGCGGCGAACGGGUGAGCAAUGCUUCGGAAUCUGCCCAAUGGUGGGGAAUAACCAGCCGAAAGGUUGGCUAAAUACCGCAUACGCCUACGGGGAAAGCAGGGAGUCGCAAGACCUUGCGCCGAUGGAUGAGCCGAAGUCGGAUUAGCUAGUUGGUAGGGUAACGGCCUACCAAGGCGACGAUCCGUAGCUGGUCUGAGAGGACGACCAGCCACACUGGGACUGAGACACGGCCCAGACUCCUACGGGAGGCAGCAGUGGGGAAUAUUGGACAAUGGGCGAAAGCCUGAUCCAGCGACGCCGCGUGUGUGAAGAAGGCCUGCGGGUUGUAAAGCACUUUUAGUGGGGAUGAAAAGCCUAGAGCUAAUACCUCUGGGUCUUGACCUAACCCACAGAAAAAGCACCGG
rnacentral:rRNA from 1 species